rnacentral:rRNA from 1 species
UACGUAGGGGGCAAGCGUUGUCCGGAAUCAUUGGGCGUAAAGCGCGCGUAGGCGGCCCGGUAAGUCCGCUCUGAAAGUCCAGGGCUCAACCCUGGAAAGCGGGUGGAUACUGCCGGGCUAGAAUCCGGAAGAGGCGAGUGGAAUUCCGGGUGUAGCGGUGAAAUGCGUAGAUAUCGGCAGGAACACCCGUGGCGGAAGCGGCCGCCUAGCCCGCACCUGACGCUGAGGCGCGACAGCGUGGGAGCGAACGGG